AGGAGCUGCUCUUUAUCUAAAUCAAAAUAGGAUAUAUUUCUUUUGCCCUAGUCAAAACGUUUUGCUCCAAAUAAAAAUUUCAUACCCUAAACCCUAUUUCCCUGUGAAGAAAACAGUCUUUGCUCGGAGACCACUACAACUUGUUUUGUUCCUUUGGAAUAAAAGGAUGUAGAAGAAACACAGUUGUUGGCUCUGAAUCAUCCAAAUGGGUACUUGAAAGGGGAGACGCGGAUAGAGAGAGUGUGGUCUCAUUGGAAGAAGCUUGUCAAUCCAAAAAUUAUAGUGGCACCAAUGGUUGAUAACUUGGAGCUUCCUUUCCAUCUUCUAUGUAGACACAUCAAUGGUGUGCACAGUUGUUUGGAAGAAACUUGUGUUGAUGGGGUACUUUCAGCAGAUCCUUCUCUUGAGAAUCCAGCCCUCUUUGGUGGAUAUCGAACUGCUGAAUGGGGAUUGGGUGUUGCAGGAAUGAAAGAAGAAGAUAAAAUAUACUAGGUUGAGUUACUGAUACAAUAUUUGAUAUUCUGUGAGCGAUAUCCAGUCCCUUGGAAAAUCAUUUGUUCACAUGUGCACAUGCUUUUGGGAGAGUGGUUUAGUAUCCAGCCAAGUGUGCAGGAGGAUUUUAUCAAACAAUCCAAAGUCACCUUUGAAUUUCUUUAUGAUUUAGUGAACCGAUUAAAGGAACUUGGGGUGAAAUACUACAAUAUGUGAAGGAUACUCAGCAGGCAGUAUGUACGACUUUACUUGUUGCUCAAGUUCUAACCUGAAAGAUGGAGCCAGCCAUGGUGAAUCACCAGCUAUGGAGGACAGUGCUGCUACUACAUUUCAAGCUCGUUACCAUAUUUAUUCAUGAAGCUAGUCAUGCUAUAGCUUGAAAACUUACUUGCAGACAUGUGAAAAAUCUCCCUCUCUUUUACUUUUUUAAAAUUUUGUUAGCAUAUGAUAGUGUUGGUUCAUACUUCUUUAGAGUUGAUCGUUCUAGUAACUAAAGCAAGUUAAAGGCUGAUUGUUGUUAGCUAAUAAAGUAAACACUACAAAUAUUAAACAACAAUGAGAUUGGAUAUAUUUAACGAACUCAAAAGAGAAUCUACAAUAGGAAAACUAAGCAAUGGAACAGUAACAAAUAAAGAGAUGAGAUGGCAGAAGAAUCGGAGGUAAGAAAUGUAGACAUUGCCAAAGCACAAUACAUAAUAGAGUCUCUUUUCUUCCAUCCAAUUCAUGCAAGAAUGAAUUUUCAUACUCUAGUUAUAAGCUUAUAUAUUGGUGAUAUAUAAACAUUUAUAGCUGUGUUUUUAUUUGAGUAGAAAGAUUGAGGAGCUUGGAUUGAAGAAGACGCAACAAGAAACCAUAGCUAUUGAAACUUCAUGGAAAGCUAUUCCAUCAGUGGUAUUAAUUUCCAAAAGCCAAAAGUUUGUCAUUUGAGUGGUUUCCAAAUUAAUACUUAAACUUUUUAUUAAUUAUACUUUAUGUUCUGUUAUAAUGGCCGGAAAAGUGCAAGAAACAAUUAAUGAUAGACAAUUCAGAUUUCAUUGCCAACAUGGGGCUUAAUUAUGUUUUAUUAGUGAGGAAGUAGAGAGAUUCAUGGUACUGUAGGAUAUACAUGUUACUGUAGGAGUCGUGAUACUAUUAGUACUAGUAAUUUCUGUCGACUGUUAAAUGUUAAUUGGGUGAUGAAUACAGAAAAAGUUCUGAACCUUGUGUCUAAACUAGAAGAAAUAGAUAACGUGAUCACAACAUUUAUGUUAUUGAUUUUGUUUUUAUUGGCUUGUAAGCAUUUUGAAGUAGUACUUUGUUCAUAUAUUAUUUUGCAGUUUAGCAAAAGCAUGUUAGUGAAGUGAUGAGAGAGGCUUCUUAUUUUUUCAUCACUAGAAUCUUUCUUUUUCAUAGAAUUUUCUCUAGACUGUGAAGGGAUUCAGAGUGGCUUUCAGUUUUAUCUAAGAAUGUGAGAUGUCUUUGGUUCUUUCAAGCAGCUGGUGUCAUUAUAACUCAUUGUUUUUGUUGUGAUUUUGGUUGUGCGACUCUUAUGAUGCUACCCUCUUCACAAUUUUUUCUCUUUUCAUUUUUAGAAGAAAGCAUCUGUUCAUUUUACCAUUUUCUGCAGGUGAUCCAUUGUGCUGCCUUAGCUUUACUAAUUCAUCCAUCUAAAUCACAACUCUUCAUCAAUAGAGUCUUCUGUCCAUUUUGUCUUUACUUGGAGGCAGUUUCUGUGCUACCUCAACUUCGUGUCAUGCAAAACACUAUGGUACAAUUGCAUGCUAUCAGUUAUGAAAUGCAGAUUUCUCAACCCCCCCCCCCUCUCCCUCAAUACUUUUGUGCGGUGUAGGAACUGCCUUUCCUUGCUUUUGACCACCACUUUGUUGUUUUGUACACAAAUAGUUGAACCAUUCAAAGCUCAUUAUGCAUUUGCAUUGGGUGUUGCAAUGUUCUUAAUCUGCGCUCACUGGGUUGUCCAGGUUUUAGUUGCAAAUCCAUUGUUCUUGUAGUAGUUUGAUUUUAUAACUCUUAAAAUAACUUUAUUUGAAUGUAAUUCAUAGUUCCUGUAUGGAAGCCUCAUUUUAUGAUUUAACCCAACAUGGUUUUCUUUAAUGAACAAUUAACGAACAGAUAUGAUAUUAUGAUUUCAUGUUCCUUGUUUGUUUGCCAAGUUGUACAGUAUGGAAUACCAUUAGUUGGGAAGGCAAGUAGUAGCAUUGUGAUCACGUACCAAGACUGUUAUGUGGAAUUCAUUAGGGAUGUUUAGUUAUUUCUUUAAUUGUUGGGCAAAUUUUCACAUAUAUGGAUUUUUGUAGCAUGUUAUUUAGCUCUAACAAUCUAAUGAUUUUUUCAUUGCUUUAUGACGGAUCUUGGUAAUCACAGCCAUCUGCUAGUAGCAUUGGCUCAUGGUCUAUGAUCUUCUAUAGUUUUGAUAUCUGAAACAGUUCAAACUUUUAUCCUAGCAUACUUUUGUUACUACUUAAUUAAAAGGUAAAAUAAGUUUCUCUCAUGUACAUCUGUUUCUUAUCCUAUUCCUCUGCCAUUCCCCAUCAUUCUGUAUAUGAUAAGUAAUGUGGAUGGCUAAGGUUCAUAUGAUUUAUAAGUUAAUUUGUUGCUUGGAAUGGUAGGAAGAAAUUUAGAAUUGGCCAAGGUUGAAAGACUAUUCUCACCUAUUGAAUCUAUUAGCGCUCAUGGUACCAUGUUGGUUUGAGUUCUAGGGCACUCUUCCACUAACAAGAACCUAAGUAUAAACUUCAAAAGUAGGCUCUUGAGCCAUCUGCUAGAAGAAAUCCACCAUGUCCUUCUUCUCUACAUUCUUCUUAGCAUUGUGGUCAGCAAGCACAAUGUUGUGGAACUUAUCAAAAGCACUUUUCAAAGCCUUAAUUUGUUUCAGAUACCCCUGCAGGUCCAAGAAACUUAUCCAUGGAAUCCAUUCUCCAAUGUUAGAAGCACCAUUUAAGUAAAAACCAAUAGUCUACUAGGUGCUGUAAAUCUUCCAUCCUAGCUACUAUCAUUGUUUUCUACUUUGGUUGAAAGUCUUCAUUCUUCAUUAUGUUUUUCAAAUGUUGGAUGUAGAAUUGGAGCUUUCAUUACUAUUUUUCCUAGAACUUCAUGUGUAUAAGUUUCCUUGGAAUUACAUGUCUUAAUGUUUGCAUUCGGUUCUCUUAGUCUGUGUAUAAAUUUCCUAAGGAACUUCAUGUCAUACCUUUAAAUUAUUGAUUUUUGAUAUCAUUGUCGAUCAGAAGUUGUGUUUAUAUAUUUUUAUCAUCUGUCUCUAUUUUUAUUUUGGUUCCUCCCUUCUUUACCUAAUUUCCCUUCACAAGAGAGCUCGCGUCAAGAAUCACUGCGCCUUGGAAAAUAUGAAGAGUGGUCUGAUGAUGUCUUCUCGAUCGAUAUAUCUGACGAGUGUGAGAAUUUUCUCAGUCGACUAUCAACGUGGAUGCAAAGUAUGCCUAUUUCUAUUAUUACAUUCUCCAUUGCUUUAUCUUGGACUUUGGCUACUGUAUAUUCUAGCUUUGGUUUAGAACUGUUGGAACAAUUAGAGUCAAUACUGAAAGGAGAAAUAUUGAUAUAUGAUACUCGUUGGUUAUAUGUGAUAGAAGUAUUGAGUAAAGUCUGAUGUAUGACUCCAUUUCAAAGGUAAUCAGCAGAGCAGUUGGCCUCUUUAUAUGGAUGUUUACACAGGAAAUAUUCAAGACUUGUGAUUUGCUGCAAGUCUUUGUUGAAGUUAUUAAGUUGCCAUGGAGGCCUACUGUUAGUAGUGAUCCAUUGCAUUAAAAGUUCGGAGUUCGCCUUAAAAAUAAUCUUCAUGUAUCCAUAUUGCAUUCACCAGUUAAUUCCAUGUAUGGCUGCUGGUAUCUCAGCCUGGUUGUUGGUAACAAUGCCAAGGGAAACAACAAAUACAUACACCAACUUUCCUUGGUGAUCUCUUAGAAGAGCACUCCCAUCUGUAUUGAGCUGGUAGGCACCAUUGCAAGGUCAUUCCCGAAGAACUGGUAUGACCUUGAUUUCAUGACUAUAGUUGUGUGACCACUGGAUACAGGGGAUAAUAAUGUUGAAAAUUGGAAGGAUAUUUUUUUCAGAUUAGGAACUUCACUCUCCUUAUGUUGGAUUUUUUGGCACCAUAUAUUACUGCAUAUUUAUUUUCCACAGAUUCCAACAUUUAACGAUGGGAAGGGCCUGAUGCAUGAGCUUGUGAGCGUCAUUUUUAUGAUGCAUGUUACCCCAUUGUAUAAGAAGAUUUUCUUAGAGAAGAGGGGUAUGAAUUAGUGAAGCUGACUAGAGUUCACAUACAUGGCUAGCGAAAUUCCCAGAAAUCAGAAUGUUGUCGACCUCAUCCCAACAAGGUCGAUAGAAACAAUAACAUUUAACAGGUUCAAUCCCAAAAAAAUAUUGAGCUUCUUGUUUGUAGGAAUUUAGCCUCUUAUUGCUCUCCCAAUCAGGAAGGAUAUAUUAAACGGGAUAUUCUUGUGCCAUAUGAGCUUGUCCAUCUCUGUUUUGCUUCUCUUAUUCAUGAUAAAUUACUUGCAGAAGUACAUGAAAAUUGUCCACUGUCUGAAGGUAUCCAUAUAGACUCACUAACAUAUAUUGUACUUUCUAGUAUGAAGGAAAGUGCUGGUAAUUGAUUUUGAAUAGUGGCCAGAAGUAAAGUUGAUCUAUUAUAAUGAGCGAUGAAGAGCUUUUGUACUAUUGUCUAAACUGUUUGAAUGCAUUUGGUUUUGUGGAUUUUAUUGAUAAAA